AUUGAACGCUGGCGGCAGGCUUAACACAUGCAAGUCGAACGAGUGGCGGACGGGUGAGUAAUGAUUGGGAAUCUGGCUUCUUGAGGGGGAUAACUACGGGAAACUGUAGCUAAUACCGCUUACCAUAGGCUGAGCCCAGGUGGGAUUCGGUCGUUGGUUAGGUAAAGGCUCACCCAGCCGACGAUCUCUCGCUGGUUUGAGAGGAUGACAAGCCACACUGGGACUGAGACACGGCCCAGACGCCUACGGGAGGCAGCAGUGGUGAAUAUUGCGCAAUGGGGGCAACCUGACGCAGCCAUGCCGCUUGAAUGAAGAAGGCCUUCGGGUUGUAAAGUUCUUUCGGUGGCGAGGCGUUACCGACAGAAGAAGCACCGGCUAGCUCCGUGCCAGCAGCCGCGGUAAUUC
rnacentral:rRNA from 1 species